AAGCUCGUGGACCAGACCAGAACGACGCGGCUGCCGGCAACUGGCUGCUAAUCAACUCACCUAGCGCGACGAAACUGUACAGUAGUCUGUAGUGCGGGAAGAGGAGCCGAGGGGGAGGACGGAGUGAAACAAAACUACGUCCGCACCUGCACAACGUAAUAACUGCGAGCAAAUCCGUUUGCUAGUUCCCGUCAAAGAGUAAAUUAGUUCACAACUGCAGAUUGCUUCUGCUUUCCCGUCUUUAUUUUAAAUUAAGAUUUUAUGUAAUGCUAUAUUUUAAAGUAAAUAUUUGUAUUUACUUUAAGUAAUGUAUAUUACUUUAUAUUUACUAAACUUAAAGUUUGAUUUGCUUAUGUUUUUUGUGUUACUGUUCAUAAUGUAAUGAUAUUAUAAAUUAGUCAAUAAUAUGAACAAUCAAAA